GACGAACGCUGGCGGCGUGCUUAACACAUGCAAGUCGAACGGAAAGGCCCUGCUUUUGUGGGGUGCUCGAGUGGCGAACGGGUGAGUAACACGUGAGUAACCUGCCCUUGACUUUGGGAUAACUUCAGGAAACUGGGGCUAAUACCGGAUAGGAGCUCCUGCUGCAUGGUGGGGGUUGGAAAGUUUCGGCGGUUGGGGAUGGACUCGCGGCUUAUCAGCUUGUUGGUGGGGUAGUGGCUUACCAAGGCUUUGACGGGUAGCCGGCCUGAGGGGGUGACCGGCCACAUUGGGACUGAGAUACGGCCCAGACUCCUACGGGAGGCAGCAGUGGGGAAUAUUGCACAAUAGGCGGAAGCCUGAUGCAGCAACGCCGCGUGCGGGAUGACGGCCUUCGGGUUGUAAACCGCUUUCGCCUGUGACGAAGCGUGAGUGACGGUAAUGGGUAAAGAAGCACCGGCUAACUACGUG
rnacentral:rRNA from 1 species